GACGAACGCUGGCGGCGUGCUUAACACAUGCAAGUCGAACGGAAAGGCCCCUUUGGGGGUACUCGAGUGGCUAACGGGUGAGUAACACGUGAGUAACCUGCCCUUGACUUCGGGAUAACUUCAGGUAACUGGGGCUAAUACCGGAUAGGAAUACUUGCUGCAUGGUGGGGGUUGGUAAGAUUCGGCGGUUUUGGCUGGACUCGCGGCUUAUCCGCUUGUUGGGGGGGUAGUGGCUUACCAAGGCUUUGACGGGUAGCCGGCCUGAGGGGGCGACCGGCCACAUUGGGACUGAGAGACGGCCCAGACGCCUACGGGAGGCAACAGUGGGGAAUAUUGCACAAUGGGCGGGAGCCUGAUGCAGCAACGCCGCGUGCGGGAUGACGGCCUUCGGGUUGUAAACCGCUUUCAGCAGGGGCGAAGCUUGUGGUGACGGUACCUGCAGAAGAAGCACCGGCUAACUACGUG
rnacentral:rRNA from 1 species